rnacentral:rRNA from 1 species
CUACGGGAGGCAGCAGUCGCGAAACCUUUACAAUGCACGAAAGUGUGAUAAGGGUAUCCCUAGUGCUUGCCACAUGGCAGGCUUUUGCCAAGUGUAAAAAUCUUGGAGAAUAAGUGGUGGGUAAGACUGGUGCCAGCCGCCGCGGUAACACCAGCGCCACGAGUGGUGAUCGCGUUUAUUGGGUCUAAAGCAUCUGUAGCCGGUUAAAUAAGUUUUUUGUGAAAUUGUGAGUUCAGACCUUACAACGUGCAAGAAAUACUGUCUAACUAGAGACCGGGAGGGGACAAGGGAACUCCUUGGGUAGCGGUAAAAUGUGUUGAUCCUUGGAGGACCACCUAUGGUGAAGACAUUUGUCUAGAACGGUUCUGACGGUGAGAGAUGAAAGCUAGGGGAGCGAUCGGGAUUAGAUACCCCCGUAGUC